rnacentral:antisense_RNA from 1 species
UUUGAUCGACCCCAGCCGAAGCGGUUGGUCGCGGUCUUGCCCAUAGGUGGCCAGCAGCGCCUGGGCUUC